AGGGAUCAUUACAGAGUUCAUGCCCUCACGGGUAGAUCUCCCACCCUAUGUUAUCGUUAUCUUCGUUGCUUUGGCGAGCCGUCAGGCUUUUUAGUCAGGCUACUGGCUUCGGCUAGUAAGCGCUCGCCAGAGGACCCCAAACUCUGAAUGUUAAGUGUCGUCUGAGUACUAUAUAAUAGUUAAAGCUUUCAACAACGGAUCUCUUGGUUCUGGCAUCGAUGAAGAACGCAGCGAAAUGCGAUAAGUAAUGUGAAUUGCAGAAUUCAGUGAAUCAUCGAAUCUUUGAACGCACAUUGCGCCCCUUGGUAUUCCGGGGGGCAUGCCUGUUCGAGCGUCAUUACAACCCUCAAGCCUGGCUUGGUAUUGGGCUUCGCCGUUUUGGCGGGCCUUAAAAUCAGUGGCGGUGCCGUCGAGGCCCUGAGCGUAGUAAAUAUCCUCGCUAUAGGGACCCGGUGGUUGCUAGCCAUGAACCCCCAACUUUCUAAGUUUGACCUCGGAUCAGGUAGGGAUACCCGCUGAACUUAA
rnacentral:rRNA from 1 species